AUGAGGAGAGGACUAUUUGUGAUGUCUAUCCUUGAGUUGGCUACUGUAACCUCAAGGAAGGAUUUGCAAACAUUCAAUUGUGAAGUGCGUUCAGGAUAUGUCAUGGUAACGUGGCUGUGCAGUUCAAAUGACAAACGUGAUUGUCAUGGAGGAGUAGGCUCAGAAAGCGAAAUAGCAGAUGAGAAGGGCGUCAGGGCUUGUUGGCCUGCAGAUUAUUGUUCAAGCCUGGAGCUGGAGGUAUGUUGGCUCAGGUGCUCCUUCCUACAUUUCCGUUCCUUCCGAUUAUCUGAGCCUGAUUAUACACACACAUAUAUCCUUUGA
rnacentral:rRNA from 1 species